rnacentral:lncRNA from 10 species
UCCUGCAGCCUGUCAGGCGUCGGCCCACCCUGCAACAUCCAGGAUGUCAUUUGAGCCCUGGUCACACGAAAGCACUGCAUGGGAUGAAGGCUGAGAGGCCAGGCUGACUGAAGAGCUCCUGAGAAAGCCACCAGGACCCACUGCUAAAGGGGUGUCCUUAUGAAGGAGGCAAAGGGAGUUCUGACACGGAGAAGAGUGGUCCAUGUGAAGAU